UACAGAGGUGGCAAGCGUUGUUCGGAAUUACUGGGCGUAAAGGGCGCGUAGGCGGUUCGGUAAGUCCUGUGUGAAAUCCCUCGGCUCAACUGAGGAACUGCACGGGAGACUGCCGGGCUUGAGUUCGGGAGAGGGAAGCGGAAUUCCGGGUGUAGCGGUGAAAUGCGUAGAUAUCCGGAGGAACACCGGUGGCGAAGGCGGCAUCCUGGACCGGCAUUGACGCUGAGGCGCGAAAGCCAGGGGAGCAAACGGG
rnacentral:rRNA from 1 species